rnacentral:rRNA from 1 species
CAGCACCGCGGGAAUACGAAGGGUGCAAGCGUUACUCGGAAUUACUGGGCGUAAAGCGUGCGUAGGUGGUGGUUUAAGUCCGUUGUGAAAGCCCUGGGCUCAACCUGGGAAUUGCAGUGGAUACUGGGUCACUAGAGUGUGGUAGAGGAUAGUGGAAUUUCCGGUGUAGCAGUGAAAUGCGUAGAGAUCGGAAGGAACAUCUGUGGCGAAGGCGACUAUCUGGGCCAACACUGACACUGAGGCACGAAAGCGUGGGGAGCAAACAGGAUUAGAUACCCCCGUAGUCCCUGUCUCUUAUACA